AGCCAAUUCUCCUUUCACUGUGUGUUUUGUCUCAGUUGUGGCUCUCCACACCAUUCCAGGGGCUGAAGAUUGGAGUUCCCAGUGAACAUCUGCAUUUUCCAGCUGGAGAAGCAAGGAAUGCCCAACAGAACAGAGACAGUGAUUCCCAUCGGAAGAAAGUGCAGAUAAUUGCCAUUUAUUACCUGCAACACAAAUCAGGUCUGAAUCCUCUGUCUGUGUUGACAUGAAGAAUAACCACUACUCAGUGGAGCAAAAGGUGGUGACCCAGCAGCUAAUGAAGUGUCAGAAUGGAGCCAGCAGAAAAGGAGUGACUUUCAAAGUCAUUGAAAUGGACAAGGAAAAAAAAAAAGGUUCCCACUCUCAGCCCUGCCCCUGUGCUGUCAGCCCCAGCUCUGCCAGGCUGUGGUGUGAUUGCAGAAAUCCCAGCCCUGCUGUGCUUGUCUGGGGAUGGAGUCACUCCCUGUUUGUUUUCAGCACAACAAACAGGAUUAAAUGUCUCUCCCACCUCUGCUCAGAGCUGGGCUGGUGUGAGAAGGAGCUGAGAAGUGAAAAAUUCCAUCAGUGAGUGCCUGUGUGCCAGGCUGGGCAGCUGCUGGAGCAGAAUCCUGGAAGCUCUGCAGUGCCUGGACACAGCUUCGAGGCAGCACCAAGGCAAGAUCACAUCUCAUUCAGCUGGAAGUGGAAGGAAAGGCUGUCCUGCCUUUGAACGCAUCUGUCUGAAGAGCUGGAAUUAAAGAAUUUCUGUUCUCUUGACCUCCUGGUGAAGGCAACAAAGAUCACUGAUGGGUUUGUCUGCAGUGGAACCUGCUGAUGAAUUCCUGCUGGCAUCUCUACAGAAGCAGAGCCUGCCCUGUACAUUGCAGUUUCAGCUACCUGUGGACUCAACAAAGCAGCUGUUUAAAGAUCACACUAAUUUUUGAACAAGGAAAACAAAACGUGACUUGAGGAUCUUUGUGCAAGUCAGCAACAUCUGUGUUUAAUACAGCAAUCAGGCAGUGCUUUGUUUCUGCAAAAGUACAGGAUUCACUUUAAACCUUGGGGAUUUCAAACUAAUCAAAUUAAAGAUCAAGCCAGGGACUGAUGCUUUAAAGAUGGGUGCUGAUGUAAUUUUUUUGAACAGAAUUCCAUUUCAGCUGGGAGGAAGCAGUGAAACACUCCCUUGGCAUGAUGGUUUUUUGCAAGCCUCCACAAGUGACAUUGAAAAAAUGUUCAGGCAAAAUGUUCUUUAGCAGUUUAGGGGGAUUUGUCAAACUAUUGCAUUUACCUCUCUGGCAAUCAGCAAGCUUGGAUGUUCCAAAGGGUGAACUUUAGCAAUGGCCACUUGUGCAAAUUCAGCACUAAAUAAAUGCCAGCAAGCAGCAAAAAUGGAUGUGGUUUAUACAGGAAUGGCAGAGACAGCAUAUGCAUGCUAAUUAUUUUAAUUUUCAUGCACUUGUGCUGCCUUUCCCCAUUUCCCACCCUACUGAAGAUGGUCAUAAUGCCAUCGUGGUGUAGAUGAGAAAAUGGACAAAUAAAAAGAACAGUUAAAUUAUUCUUCAAUUACAGAACCAUGUUUAUCAGUUCAGUAGCUGCUUUCAUAUGAAAUGUUCCUUUUAUUUGCUUGUUGUUAAACAACAUUUAAAUAUUGUGAAAGAUUAUGAGUUGGGAAGAGCAGCACAUUCUUUACAGCCCUUCUCUGCUGCUAGAACAUUAUUGCAAAUAAAUCAGAGAAUUCACUUUGCUGGUAUUUGGUUUAAGGCUUUUUUCUUUCAAUUAAAAGAAACAUCUUAAGCGAGCUGCUUGCCACCUCCAGAAGAGUUUGCAGUAUGUAAAGGUUACAUUGCAAAUAAAUAAAACCUCAAACGCAAACUCAUCCAGGCCGUGAUAUUUCUCCUCAGAGCAUCCCAGCCCCUCGCUGUGCAUUCCAACACGCAGCCCAAAAUGUGUUUAUUUCCCUGCCUGGCGCUGGGGAUCAUUUCAAGCCCAUUAGGUCAGACCUGGAGAGGGAUUGUUCAGAGCUCUUGAAACUCCUAAGAAAAAAAAAAAAAUGACAAUGAUUAUUUUGGUCACACCGAGGCUUUUUCCUCUCCCCCUUGCCAUCUGUUUUUGAAUGUCUGGAUGCUCAGAUCUCCCUGUGGGCAGGUGCUGAGGGAGCUGCUCAUCACUGAGCGGUGACACAGAGAGCAAAGGGAAGGGGGAGCUCCCUCUGCACCCCCAGGCAGGGGCAGGAGCCUCUGACAGGGCAAUGAGCCCCCAGGCAAAUCCAAUCUUCAUCGCUGGCCUGCUCCUAGGAGCAACCAUUGCUAUCCCAAAUAACCACGGAAUCAUGGCCUGGACCAGCCUUGAAACCAACACACUCACCAUCCUCCCGUUAAUCUCAAAAUCCCAGACAGGGCCAGGGACACUGCUGGGAGAUUUGGGCUCCUCAUCCUCUGCUGGCUCCCGAGCUCCAGCUUUACUCCACAAUGCAGAUUUAAUGAAGGCAGUUUAACACAAGCUUUAUAUUUAGCUUCCCCUGUAAUAAAUUACUGUGCUCCCUCUGAAAUCUGUGGAAAUGGGGUGUUAUUUUUAAUGGGCAGGAAGAUAUGGUCCAUGUUGUCUGGAAGGAUUCCCAGAGUCUGAAAUGGGUUUGUGUUGCUGGAAAACGCCAUUUGAAUUUUACCUUUUGUCUUAAAGAUUGCAAAGAGCAAACUUUCUUUUGAACAUGCAUCAGCUGAUAUGG